rnacentral:tRNA from 2 species
GGAAGUGUGGCCGAGCGGUUGAAGGCACCGGUCUUGAAAACCGGCGACCCGAAAGGGUUCCAGAGUUCGAAUCUCUGUGCUUCCGCCA